CUGAGAACUUCAAUCUUGCAAUGUUGAGAAAAUCAGCAACUAAGAUGCUAUUAGGAAUCCCAAAGCCAGGGAACAGCUCCAGGCAGAACAGAUGACUACCUCCUGCUCGUAGAGAGGACAGUGUUGGUAGAGAGUGCUGCCUAGGAGCUCAAAGCCCAUCAGAGACCACAGCUGGAAUUCCAGCCCUUAACCAGACUCCUGUGCUGAAGUUAGUUCUUUGGAGCUCCUAUACCCCCAACUACAGGGAAUGAUUUCCCAUGCUGCUUAAACAGACAAGUGCAAUACAGCCUCACCUCACAUACUGAUGCAAAACUCAAAGAGGAGAAGAACAUGCUGGUACAGUGAGAUUCUCAGCUGUGCUGGGGAAAUGAACAUUUCCACAGGAAUUCAAUGUAUAAUUCAACAUAAAAGUAUUGUUCUCCACUAUACUUGAUGAUGACCCAAAACAACAAUAUGAUUGACAUCAGUUCUGAGGGAGCUGGAGGAAUCAAUCUAGGAAGAAAGACAGAGACAAGCAGAGACAGAGAGGAGAUAGAAGGAAGAAUGGGAGUGGCAAGAAGAACUCAUAUUUUUCAAUCUCAAACACUGGGAAAUAAAAGAAUGAUGAUACCAUCAAGA